UAUCAAGACGGGUCGCCGAGACGACGGUGUGAAGUUUUGCUACACAUAUGUAUUUCAGCGCCCAACGUAGGCUACACCCACGAAACUAUAUUUAAUGAGUUAGCCGGGCAAUCUACCACGACAGUUUAACCUAGGGAUUAAUUUCAAUUUACUGUGUUUCGUAUGAAUGUGAAUGGGCCUUCUCAUUUCACUGGUACCUUUUUAGUCACACAGGACCUUAAACACUGGACGAAGAACAAUAUUUGUAUAAUCAAGGAGGAAAUAAUCAACACAUUAAUGACAAAACACAAAUCCUAACCUAAUAUUGCACACAUAAAUAUUGCACUCGUUCACUCACAUCACAUUGAAUGCCUACAUUUGCUGUUGUUCGGCUAUAGUUUGGGUGGAGCGUGACUCUGCCGUUUUCGUCACACUCCCUAUCUUGUUUCCCGAACAUUUGGGACAAUUAGGAGUAACAACACCUAUUAAUCCACAUUUAUAACAAAAUAGUGUUCUCUGAACACUAGGACAGUCGGUGAACAAAUGACCUGGCAAUCUGCAGUUCCAACACAGUAUUAUGUCUGUAUUGAUGUUAUUAGUUUUUCUCAAUAAUUUCACGGAUAAGACCAGCAUAAACUCUAGGAUUAUUUCCCGGUGAAAAACCUUUUCGAUUUUGAGGGAUAUUCGGAGGUGGAAAAUUGUAUGUUCCCGGCGGAACUGACAUUUUUGGAAUUGCUCCGGUUUGUUGAUUAGGAACUACUGUAGGUGUUUGCGACUGUAUAUUAUCUGAUUGGUUCCCUAUCAGUAUUCAUUGGUGUCCUCCAUAAUGGCAUUUUGGAAUACUAUUUUCUUUGAAACUUAAAAUUUUUUUUAUUAUUUUGGUAAAAUUUUCAAAUUGUUAAAGAAAUAAAUACAUUAAACAUAUAAUAAACAAAUAUAUACAUACACUUAACAAA